rnacentral:lncRNA from 1 species
GUUCGUUCUUGUAGUUCAAACACUCUUUGAAUUAACUUUAAUUUGAAAAAAAGACCACUAAACAUUGUGUUGACCUUUAAUCAAAAUAACUAAGUGCUAUACACAUUGUGUUUAGUUACGUGACUAUUAUACAUGAAACAUAUAGGCGUAACAUUACAGUUUUUAUACAAAUUGAAGCGAUUUAUUUCUUUUUAAUCACUCUCUAAAUCAUACGUAACGUCUGAAGUCUGAACUCGUUGACUUAUGUAAAAUUAGACUUUAUGACCAUGAAAAUUUUCUUCUUUGAACGCUCCUAAGAAACGACUAUGAAUUCAUCUUAAAAUAGAACUAUGUAUAACUGAAAAC